UUUCAAGAAAUCGUACGGGACCCUCCGCACUCUGCGGCGUGGGGACUUUGUGUGGUUCGCACGGCUGGCGUCCCGGCGGUCUCUCUCCGCCGGGUUCCUCUCAGCGUUGGCUGGUGGGAGUCCGCUCGGAACGUUAAACCACGUUCCAAGCUGCCCUUCCCUCCGCCGUUCGAUUGGCCUGGGCGGGCCUGGACGUCUUCAUUUUUCAGAGCCUGGUCCUUCCGGGAGGCACCGGCGAUUGAGCCCCGUACAGAUCGCCGGGUCCCCUGCACCCCCUCCCACGGUUUGCAUCACAGCCUCCUCCCUCCCUUUCAUUUGUGCUUUCACUCAACAAACAUUAACUUGAUAACCUGGUAUGUACUGGCGACUGUUGGCAGGUUCCAGCGUGAACGGUUCACCCCAGCGGGACUUAACAUCUGCCCUCCCGGCCGCCCUCACCGAAAUCCGCUUUCCUCUCCCUGUGUCCUUGAUCUCUUCGGGUAAAGGGGAGAUGGAAUACAAGAUCCUUGACUAGAGAGUAUUACUUUUCCCUUUCGUCCUUAAGCUACAUUUUGGAUAAAAAUGUAUAGAUUUUCUGGUUCUACGCACAAUUUGUCUAUGCUUGCUGCGUGUAAAAGUGCUGCAUUUGGAGGUUUUCAAAAACAUUCUUUUUGUGUGUAAUACCCGUUCUUUGAAAUUCAAAAACAUAAAGUACGACCGGCAUGGUAGUGCACGCCUGUAAUCCCCGCACUCGGAAAGCUGAGGCAGGAGGAUCGCUGAGUGUUUGAAGCCAACCUGGACUACAUCCCAAAUUCAAGGCCAGCUUGAUCUACACAGUGAGACCCUGUCUCAAAAUAUAAAGUAUGGGGUCUCCCUUUGUAGUCCAGGCUGGCCCUGAACUCACUGUGUAUCCCAGGUUGGCCUCCAGCUCAUCUCGAUUCUCCUGCCUCAGCUUCCCGAGUUCUGGGAUUACAGGCGUGCACCACCACACCCUGCACUUAUUUUUCUUUUUUUUUUCUGGUAUCGGGGAUUGAACUCAAGACCUUGCACUUUCGAGGAAGGCGGCGGAACCACUGAGCUAAAUCCCUGGC
rnacentral:lncRNA from 1 species